rnacentral:lncRNA from 1 species
GUAAACUCAGAGCCUCUGGCUUCUCUCAGAAACCUCUACAGGCUGCUGAUGCUCUCUUGCUCCCCAGAUCAGGGGCUGUGAUGCCACCAAGCAUUUAUUAACUUUUCAAGAAGCAGUAGAGACUGUGGCACCAGUCAAGAGAGGCUCUAGGGCCCAGAUGCUGGAGAAAAGGAAAAAGGCCCCCUGAGCCUCUGACCGAGGCCAGUGAGGGAGGCAGUAGAGGGGGAGAUGGUUUCUCACCAUUACCAAGUCAGAAACUCCCAACCCCCAGGAUUCGGAACUGCAGUGGGAUUGUGAAAGCAAAGCACUUGGGGAGGGGGGAUCAGGGCCUUGGACAUCUUAGCUCAGGCCUUGGAGGUUGAAUCAACCUCAGGGGCCCCACCAGAACUAGUGGCACCCAUCUUCUCCCUGAAAUUCUACUAGGGUACAGCAUGGGGGGGUCCCAGAAAGGGGCACUGAGUGGGGAGCCAGCAUCCUGGAGGGCAGAGCCCUCACCAAUGGGUUCAAAGGUCCCUACCCCACCCAGGCUCUGCUGGUCUGGAACCAGGCUAGCUGCUUCUCCAGUUCCCCCUCAGAAGGGUACUCUUCGGCCUGUGGAGUCCCCUCUAAAUGUCCAGAUGCAAACCUGAGACUGACUAUGAGACAUAGCCGAAGAGUAUGAGACUGGGAGCUCCUCAGAGAAGUCUUGCCCUUGGAAGGACUGCCUAGCACACUGUGUCACUGCAAGUGUUCAGUACACAUUUGUUGAAAUACAAAUAAAAUUAAAUAAAACAAACAGGAUUUUCCUAGGUAAGGACCUGCUAGGAUAUCCUAGUGUCAUGGUAUUCUUUAGGCUACUGCCUCGGCCCUAGCUCUAAAGAAAGAAGAGAAUAAAUUUGGCAGCAAGCCAGACAUGGAUUCAAACUCCAGUUCCACCUGAAUUUAAACCAGCUGCAUCGGGGCUGGGGGAGUGGCAUAAUAGCAGAGUGUUUGCCUAAACUAGCUAUGUCUCUGCUUUCCCAUCUGCAAAUUGAUGAAAACAAUAAUACCAACUUUAAUUGAAUCCUUACAGCAAUCAAUUGGAUCCUGCCCGAGUUGUAUUAGAGAAGGGACGAGGUUAUGAGCCGUGGAAUAG